GACGAACGCUGGCGGCGUGCUUAACACAUGCAAGUCGAACGGAAAGGCCCUGCUUUUGUGGGGUGCUCGAGUGGCGAACGGGUGAGUAACACGUGAGUAACCUGCCCUUGACUUUGGGAUAACUUCAGGAAACUGGGGCUAAUACCGGAUAGGAGCUCCUGCUGCAUGGUGGGGGUUGGAAAGUUUCGGCGGUUGGGGAUGGACUCGCGGCUUAUCAGCUUGUUGGUGGGGUAGUGGCUUACCAAGGCUUUGACGGGUAGCCCGCCUGAGAGGGUGACCGGCGACAUGGGGACUGAGAGACGGCCCAGACUCCUACGGGAGGCAGCAGUGGGGAAUAUUGCACAAUGGGCGGAAGCCUGAUGCAGCAACGCCGCGUGCGGGAUGACGGCCUUCGGGUUGUAAACCGCUUUCGCCUGUGACGAAGCGUGAGUGACGGUAAUGGGUAAAGAAGCACCGGCUAACUACGUG
rnacentral:rRNA from 1 species